rnacentral:rRNA from 1 species
AGGGCACCACCAGGAGUGGAGCCUGCGGCUUAAUUUGACUCAACACGGGGAAACUCACCCGGCCCGGACACCGUAAGGAUUGACAGAUUGAUAGCUUUUUCAUGAUUCGGUGGAUGGUGGUGCAUGGCCGUUCUUAGUUCGUGGAGCGAUUUGUCUGGUUUAUUCCGAUAACGAGCGAGACUCUAGCCUACUAAAUAGUUCGCACAUUGUCUCUGUGUGUGUGACUUCUUAGAGGGAUUUUCGGUGUUCAGCCGCACGAAAUUGAGCAAUAACAGGUCUGUGAUGCCCUUAGAUGUCCGGGGCUGCACGCGCGCUACACUGGCGAAAUCAGCGUGCUUGUCCUUCCCCGAAAGGGGUUGGUAAACCCUUGAAAAUUUGCCGUGAUUGGGAUUGGAAAUUGCAAUUAUUUUCCAUGAACGAGGAAUUCCAAGUAAGUGCGAGUCAUCAGCUCGCGUUGAUUACGUCCCUGCCCUUUGUACACACCGCCCGUCGCUGCCCGGGACUGAGCCAUUUCGAGAA